rnacentral:rRNA from 1 species
UACGUAGGGUGCAAGCGUUGUCCGGAAUUAUUGGGCGUAAAGAGCUCGUAGGCGGUUUGUCGCGUCUGCUGUGAAAAUCCAGGGCUUAACCCUGGACCUGCAGUGGGUACGGGCAGACUGGAGUGCGGUAGGGGAGAUCGGAAUUCCUGGUGUAGCAGUGAAAUGCGUAGAUAUCAGGAGGAAUACCGAUGGCGAAGGCAGGUCUCUGGGCCGAUACUGACGCUGAGGAGCGAAAGCGUGGGGAGCGAACAGG